GUAUAAGGGACGGGUGAGUCAUCGAAUCUUUGAACGCACAUUGCGCCCCUUGGUAUUCCGGGGGGCAUGCCUGUUCGAGCGUCAUUUCAACCCUCAAGCUCUGCUUGGUAUUGGGCACCGUCCUUUGCGGGCGCGCCUCAAAGACCUCGGCGGUGGCGUCUUGCCUCAAGCGUAGUAGAAUACACCUCGCUUCGGAGCGUAAGGCGUCGCCCGCCGGACGAACCUUCUGAACUUUUCUCAAGGUUGACCUCGGAUCAGGUAGGGAUACCCGCUGAACUUAAGCAUAUCAAUAAGCGGAGG
rnacentral:misc_RNA from 1 species